UACGGGGGGGGCAAGCGUUGUUCGGAAUUACUGGGCGUAAAGGGCUCGUAGGUGGCCAACUAAGUCAGACGUGAAAUCCCUCGGCUUAACCGGGGAACUGCGUCUGAUACUGGAUGGCUUGAGUUUGGGAGAGGGAUGCGGAAUUCCAGGUGUAGCGGUGAAAUGCGUAGAUAUUGGGAGGAACACCAGUGGCGAAGGCGGCUCACUGGACCGGUACUGACGCUGAAGCGCGAAAGCGUGGGGAGCAAACGGG
rnacentral:rRNA from 1 species